rnacentral:misc_RNA from 1 species
GAUGAAGAACGCAGCGAAAUGCGAUAAGUAAUGUGAAUUGCAGAAUUCAGUGAAUCAUCGAAUCUUUGAACUCACAUUGCGCCCGCCAGCAUUCUGGCGGGCAUGCCUGUUCGAGCGUCAUUUCAACCCUCGACCUCCCCUUGGGGAAGUCGGCGUUGGGGACCGGCAGCAUACCGCCGGCCCCGAAAUGGAGUGGCGGCCCGUCCGCGGCGACCUCUGCGUAGUAAUCCAACCUCGCACCGGAACCCCGACGUGGCCACGCCGUAAAACCCCCAACUUUCUGAACGUUGACCUCGGAUCAGGUAGGAAUACCCGCUGAACUUAAGCAUAUCAAUAAGCGGAGGA